GCUGGCGGCAUGCCUAGACAUGCAAGUCGAACGAGGUAGCCCAUUGAUUAAAUAGUGCUUGCAUUAUUUAUGAUUUGGAAUUUCUACCUAGUGGCGAACGGGUGAGUAACACGUGGGUAACCUACCUUUAAGUUGGGAAUAACAGUUGGAAACGAUUGCUAAUACCGAAUAACAUAUUAGAAGACAACUUCUAAUAUUAAAAGGCGCUUUCAAGCGUCGCUUAUAGAUGGGCCCGCGCUGUAUUAGUUAGUUGGUGGGGUAAUGGCCUACCAAGACUACGAUGCAUAGCCGAACUGAGAGGUUGAUCGGCCACACUGGGACUGAGACACGGCCCAGACUCCUACGGGAGACAGCAGUUAGGGAUAUUCGUCAAUGGGGGAAACCCUGAACGAGCAAUGCCGCGUGAGUGAUGACAGUCUUUGGAUUGUAAAACUCUGUUGUAUGGAAAGAACGUCAAAAGUAGGAAAUGACUUUAGAGUGACGGUACCAUACCAGAAAGCCCCGGCUAACUACGUGCCAGCAGCCGCGGGUAAUACGUAGGGGGCAAGCGUUGUCCGGUUUUAUUGUGCGUAAAGGGUGCGCANGCGGUUUAUUUAAGUCNUAAGGUGAAAUACUGAAGCUCAACUUCAGUCAGCCUUUAGAAACUAUUUAUACUUGAGUUAUGGGUAGAGGCAAGGUGGAAUUUUCUAGUGUAGCGGGUAAAAUGCGUAGAUUUUUAAAAGGAACACCAGUGGCGNAAGGCGACUUGCUGGGCCAUUACUGACGCUCAUGCAC
rnacentral:rRNA from 1 species